AACGACUCUCGACAACGGAUAUCUCGGCUCUCGCAUCGAUGAAGAACGUAGCGAAAUGCGAUACUUGGUGUGAAUUGCAGAAUCCCGUGAACCAUCGAGUCUUUGAACGCAAGUUGCGCCCGAAGCCACACAGGCUGAGGGCACGCCUGCCUGGGUGUCACGC
rnacentral:rRNA from 1 species